CCUCUGCUGCCGCCUCUGUGCAACGUCUGCUCUAUGAGAAUGGGCCUCUAGCUUGUGAACCUCGGACUUACAGAAGAUUCCUCUGCUGCCGCCUCUGUGCAACGUCUGUCUGUGAGAAUGGGCCUCUAGCUUGUGAACCUCGGACUUACAGAAGAUUCCUCCACCUCCUCUUCUGUGCAGUCUGCUCUAUGAGGAUGGGUCCUAUGUUCUAGCUUGUGAACCUCGCUUGGGCUUACAGAAGAAAACUACAGAGCACACAAACAGCUGAUUAUUGCUGGGCAUGUACCACCCACCUUCAAUCCCAGCACUCGAGAGGCAGAAGCAGACAGAGGUCCCUGUGAGGAGCUGCAGAAGAGUGAGAAGGGAGAUAUUCUAAGGUCCUGCUCUCCACUCCGACUUCUACACUGAUACUGCUAUGAUGUCCCACAGCACAGCAGUCCACAUGUACAGUGUGGUCUACCUCUGUGCUAUGUACACGCUGAACCAAACAUUGGUAAGAGAUUCUGCCACCUGAGAACACAUAUGGAUCCACCCACAUUUUGCCGUUCACCCCAAGGAUCUUUCUCAAUUCCUCCUGAAAUCCUCCUUUCCAGAAUU